CACGGAUAACAUACCGAAAGGUAUGCUAAUACGGGAUAAUAUAUUUGAGAGGCAUCUCUUAAAUAUCAAAGGUGAGCCAGUACAGGAUGGACCCGCGUCUGAUUAGCUAGUUGGUAAGGUAACGGCUUACCAAGGCGACGAUCAGUAGCCGACCUGAGAGGGUGAUCGGCCACAUUGGAACUGAGACACGGUCCAAACUCCUACGGGAGGCAGCAGUGGGGAAUAUUGCACAAUGGGCGAAAGCCUGAUGCAGCAACGCCGCGUGAGUGAUGAAGGCCUUCGGGUCGUAAAACUCUGUCCUCAAGGAAGAUAAUGACGGUACUUGAGGAGGAAGCCCCGGCUAACUACGUGCCAGCAGCCGCGGUAAUACGUAGGGGGCUAGCGUUAUCCGGAUUUACUGGGCGUAAAGGGUGCGUAGGCGGUCUUUCAAGUCAGGAGUGAAAGGCUACGGCUCAACCGUAGUAAGCUCUUGAAACUGGGAGACUUGAGUGCAGGAGAGGAGAGUGGAAUUCCUAGUGUAGCGGUGAAAUGCGUAGAUAUUAGGAGGAACACCAGUUGCGAAGGCGGCUCUCUGGACUGUAACUGACGCUGAGGCACGAAAGCGUGGGGAGCAAACAGGAUUAGAUACCCUGGUAGUCCACGCUGUAAACGAUGAGUGCUAGGUGUCGGGGGUUACCCCCCUCGGUGCCGCAGCUAACG
rnacentral:rRNA from 1 species